UCACAUUCACCUCCAUAGUUCUUUUACUCACUGUGGGCGUGUUUCAGUGUUUCUGCUUUGAAAUAAAAGAGAAAGUGGAAGAGAGAAGAGUCCAAAAAUGGGCUAAUUCAAUACCAUUUAUGGGCUCCAUAAAAAAGGGGCCUUGCGGGGCCUUUGCUUCUUUUUUUUUUGAACUUACCGAUUCAAAGCCGGCGUCGUCUCAACGAAAGCAAUCCUUUCCAACGGUCAAAAUAUUUCAUUUCUAUCAAGCAAACCAAACUGUGUAUAUAAACGAAGAAAGGAAACCCCUUUCUUCAUUUUUCGCUCAUGCCUCUCUAUCUGGGUUUUCAAAAUCCUCUCUCUCUUAAACAAAAGCCCUAAGAAAGAUCGUUCAUCAAGUUUCACUUCUAAGGAUUAUCUUGAGAAAGAAACUUCAAUUCAGGUCAUGAACAUUAUUUAUCCUUUUUAUCGCAUUUAUCUUAUGUCUCGCCUUAUGAAUUAUAAAAUAUUCUUGGUCAAUAAUUGCUAAAAUUAUCCUAGGUUUAGUCUUUUUUCUCUCUAUUUUCAUAUUUUUUUUAGAAUUUGGAAAAUGGGGUUAUGUAUGCUUUCUUUUUUCCUUCUUUGUAUGGUUGUAGACCUACUUUUGCAGAAACAUGGCACCUCGGUUCAGCCAAGCAUUCAGGCUUUCACUCUUAUAGGCAAUUUUUCUGGAUGCGUUGGGAAAAAGUGGAGAAAGAUUGAUGCUUUGAAUAGUUUAAUACAGAUAAAACGAAGUAGGCAUCUGAGGUAAUAAUUUUGUAGUUUCUUAUACACUGAUAAUAUGAUUUGCUUGGUCUAGUCACUUUGUAGUUGUCUCACAUCUCUUUUUCAUGGUGGUGGGUAUUCUUGUUAAGAUACACGGUUGUUAUUAGUGUUUUCUUUUCGUUGCCGCCAUCAUAAUACCUAGUGAAGCUAGUUUCUUUAUCACAUUUAGCUGCAUAGUUUCAUGUUGUUCUCCCUCCAUUUGUCUUAUUGUCUCUGCUUUGAGAGGGGGGAAGAGUACGAGCAUGGAUGAUUGAGAGCGGUUAAUAUAGGAGGAAUGGUUUGCUGAAUUGAAGAAUCAAGUUUUUCUAUUGUUAUUGGAGAUUUUUAUUUACUGGUAUACAGCUCACUUAUAAAAUCCCUCUCUAAUUUUUUUAAUAAUCACUAUUUUUUAGUUUCUUGAAUGAUAUUUAUUAACUAGGAGAGUGAAGUGCCCGUAAGAUUAGCCCCGGGGAUAAAUGAAGUCUAGAAGAUUGGCUUUUUAAAGUAUUUUGUGGCUUUGUAGAACCUGAAAAGUAAAUAUACUAAAAUGUACUUGUAUUCAAUCAUUGCCAAUAUGCUUGUAUCCUAAUCACAUUAUUCUUAAUUUAUGGUAGAUUUUUUUUUUU